GACAACUACCUUCAGGGCUACAACACCGGUCUCAUCUACACCAUCUGCAGUAGUUCCCAUACAGCAGAAUGUAACGAAUGGUACAACGGGUGAGCUUCUCCGCCGCUCCUACGCCAUCACAGACCGGGGAAUGGUGCAGAUGUUCCGUGAAUGGGUUGAUGUACAGGGCCAGGGCACCCCAACGAUUUCUGCAGGGUCGUGCGUACCGAUGGAAAGCCAUUCCUUUCAUGUCUUCUCACUGGAUCUGAAGAAGAUGAUUUACUAGCUUAAACUUCACCCAACCCUUCAGAAGAUUGGUUUGAUCCAGGUUAUUCCAAUACAUGGUACAUGAAAGACGAGGACAAUGAUGGGCGAGACGACUAUUGCAGAUGCAUUGGUGGUGUGCCCUCUACGUUGGUUGUCUGUAUGGGAGCUGGAGCAAAUGGAUUUGAGGGACCUGGCAGCGAUAUCUUACCUCCUAACUCCCCCGAGGAAUGUCUCUUCCACCAAGCCGAUCCUUUCUUUGGCUUCUAAUUGUCUCAUCGUCCAAUGCUUACAUUGUUGGUUUAUCGGAUCUGAUAAUGAACUGAAAAUUGCAAGCAUUAAGUGCGAUAAAGAACGAGAGUGAUUGCUCUAUAGGAAAGCACUGUACGGGUUCAUCUUCUUUACCUCUAAUCUAUCUAACAACAUAGAUAGUGAAAUGAAUCGGGGAGGGGUUCACCGUGCACUGCCCCCCCUAACACAUAUACUCCUGACUUGAGUGUACAUGUAUAUACAGUACAAGCUUGAUUCGUCACUUGUAGGCCCUAUUAGAUUUCUAUCACAUGAAAAACGAGAUUAUCCGACAUUAUAAUGCAUUAACAUGUUAUAUGUCAACAUACUUUAGACUACUGAUAAUAAGAUGUUUAUGAAAAUAAUACGAGACCAUAAUAAAGGCUUUAUACUGAAGAAAAAAA